UGGGGAAUAUUGGACAAUGGGCGCAAGCCUGAUCCAGCAAUGCCGCGUGUGUGAAGAAGGCCUUCGGGUUGUAAAGCACUUUUAUCAGGAGCGAGACGCUGUCGGCUAAUACCCGGCGGAACUGACGGUACCUGAGGAAUAAGCACCGGCUAACUUCGUGCCAGCAGCCGCGGUAAUACGAAGGGUGCAAGCGUUAAUCGGAAUUACUGGGCGUAAAGCGUGCGUAGGCGGUUUCUUAAGUCUGCUGUGAAAUCCCCGGGCUCAACCUGGGAAUGGCAGUGGAUACUGGGAGGCUAGAGUGUGUCAGAGGGUGGUGGAAUUCCCGGUGUAGCGGUGAAAUGCGUAGAGAUCGGGAGGAACAUCAGUGGCGAAGGCGGCCACCUGGGACAACACUGACGCUGAGGCACGAAAGCGUGGGGGAGCAAACAGGAUUAGGAUACCCUGGUAGUCCACGCCCUAAACGAUGCGAACUGGAUGUUGGUCUCAACUCGGAGAUCAGUGUCGAAGCUAACGCGUUAAGUUCGCCGCCUGGGG
rnacentral:rRNA from 1 species